rnacentral:tRNA from 1 species
GGGGCUGUAGCUCAGCUGGGAGAGCGCCUGCUUUGCACGCAGGAGGUCAGCGGUUCAAUCCCGCUUAGCUCCA